AUUGAACGCUGGCGGCAUGCCUAACACAUGCAAGUCGAACGGUAGCAGGUCCUUCGGGAUGCUGACGAGUGGCGGACGGGUGCGUAACGCGUGGGAAUCUGCCCAAUAGUGGGGGAUAACCCGGGGAAACCCGGGCUAAUACCGCAUACUCCCUACGGGGGAAAGCGGGGGACCGCAAGGCCUCGCGCUAUUGGAUGAGCCCGCGUCCGAUUAGCUUGUUGGUGGGGUAAAAGCCUACCAAGGCGACGAUCGGUAGCUGGUCUGAGAGGACGACCAGCCACACUGGGACUGAGACACGGCCCAGACUCCUACGGGAGGCAGCAGUGGGGAAUAUUGGACAAUGGGGGAAACCCUGAUCCAGCAAUGCCGCGUGUGUGAAGAAGGCCUGCGGGUUGUAAAGCACUUUCGGCAGGAAAGAAAAGCCAUGCGCUAAUACCGCAUGACCUUGACGUUACCUGCAAAAGAAGCACCGGCUAACUCCGUG
rnacentral:rRNA from 1 species